rnacentral:rRNA from 1 species
UACGAAGGGUGCAAGCGUUAUCCGGAUUCACUGGGUUUAAAGGGUGCGUAGGUGGGCAGGUAAGUCAGUGGUGAAAUCUCCGGGCUUAACCCGGAAACUGCCAUUGAUACUAUCUGUCUUGAAUACCGUGGAGGUGAGCGGAAUAUGUCAUGUAGCGGUGAAAUGCUUAGAUAUGACAUAGAACACCAAUUGCGAAGGCAGCUCACUACGCGAAUAUUGACACUGAGGCACGAAAGCGUGGGGAUCAAACAGG